CGAGCCGUUAGACAGUAAAAGAAAAUCUGGUUGGAAUGUGUCUAUGGGUGAUAUGGAAUCACUUUUUAAUUUAUAAAUUAGGCGGCGGGAAUGCACAAUUUAAGUCGGUUUGCCAAGCAGAAGAAGAUGACAUAGUAGCUGGAUACCCUUUUUUACUGUUUAUGCUGCAUACUCGAAGAGAACAGUUGCAGACAAGAAGAAGAAGAAGAAGAAGAAGAAGGAGGAGGAGGAGGAGGAGGAGGAGGAGGAUGAAGAAGAUGAUGGUCUCUGAGACUCUUCUCCUUCAGGCGCUUGUGUCUUCAUCUCUAUUGUAGUGAAACCCCAGUGUGUGAUGCUGCUGAACCUCUUCUGGUUCUGUUCUCUGCUUCGGUCUGUCCAGCAUGAAUCAGCAGCCAGAGACAUCUCUCUCUCGUCCAGGCGGUCUCCACAGGAAGCUGCUCCACGUGUGUCCGGUGAGUCUGGAUCUCUCUCUCACACACACACACACACACGUGUCAGCUGGACCCAGAGACUGCAGCAGAUCAGAGAGUACAGCACAGUGUCCAUGACAGAGUAUACGUGUUUAUUUUACACACCUAUUUGUAAUAUUGUCAAAUUAUUUAAAAUUUCUUAAAUAUUAAUAAAAAAUACAAAUACAUCAGC